GGACGUAUUGGGAGCUCCCCAUGAGAUAAAGUCUUUGAAAAUGAGAGCAUCCAGGAAGAAGCAGUUAUAUGAUUAUUAGUAACACUGUAGUAGCAUUCACUCAUAGAUUUAUACCGCAGAAAAGGUAAGUUUCUCAUUUAAGUAAUGUAUUUUUUUCAUAUGAUUCAGACAUCCCGUUUAUUUUUUAAAACCCAUAAACACUAAAUCCUUCAUUGCUUUUUUCCAUAACAUUUUUCACUAAUACCAGGUUUUAAACAACACAAUCCCCAAAGAGUGGCAGCAUAUUAAGAGAAUUUUAAAUUGUAUUUUGAAUUUCUUUGCUUUGGAGAUAUAUUUAUUAGAAGGGCUACUUCUGUCUCUUACCAUGUUCAUUCCCAUUUUAACAGCUAUGAAAAAUGCCAGAUCUGUAAAAGUUUUAGAUGUAAAAUGAUGCAGCAAGGAGCAGCAGACUUCCUAAACAUCUUUACACAUAGAUGCUUGAAUGAUCAAUCAAAAUGACUUUUAGCUUUUGUGCAUUAUUUCAAAUCCUUUUAAAAUGAUAAUUUCCCAUUUGGACAUGAAAUAUGGAAUAUUAGCCUUGCUUCACAGGAGAGGCACCUAUUCAUACACUUUCCCACUUCUCAUUUUUUAAAAAAACAGGUGGCUAGAUGUUUGCUCCUGCACAAGACAGGUCCAAAACAAAGCUUCCAAAACAAACAAAAUAUAUACAGUACUGUAAUCCUGUCACUAGUUUCCUUUUAUCUAUUCUUUGUUGUUACUGCCCUUUCUUAAUCUUGCUUUCUUAUUCUUUCUUAACUGUUAGUAAUUGUUAAGUGCUUUGUUAUUGUUCCAGUUCAUAAAGGGCUUUGUUUAAUCAGGUUGUCCUCACUUUGGCAGCACCAAUGACCCACAGAACAAAACGAGUGUUUUUUAAAAAAUAUUUCAGUUCCUACAUCUCCAGUGCCUUGUGCCUGCAUUUCCUUGACUCAGAAGAAAUAUCAAUGCACCUCAAAUAUCUACGCAAAGUGGUCGCCUUGUUUUCAGGCAAGAUCUUGAGCACCUAGAAUAAUUAGGUGAUUUCCACCACUGCCAUCCCUGCUGUGAUGGUGUAAUACUGGGGGAACCUCCUCUGUUGAAUAUAUAUACCCAGCUGAAUUUAUUAUGUUGAUUUUGCUUGGCAAUUAUUUAAAUAUCCUUAAUAAAGAUCUUUAUUAGCCUGUUGCUUUUUCCUAGGUGGGCACAGUGCGUUGGGAAAAUUACCUCUCUUGGGAAUGCAUCCCUUUGUGUUGGGAUUGUGAAAUAAACAAACUUGGCAACACUCCCAAAUG